GACGAACGCUGGCGGCGCGCCUAACACAUGCAAGUCGAACGGAGCUGAGAGAAGCUUGCUUUUCUUAGCUUAGUGGCGAACGGGUGAGUAACGCGUGAGUAACCUGCCCUGGAGUGGGGGACAACAGUUGGAAACGACUGCUAAUACCGCAUAAGCCCACGAUCCGGCAUCGGAUUGAGUGAAAAGGAUUUAUUCGCUUCAGGAUGGACUCGCGUCCAAUUAGCUAGUUGGUGAGGUAACGGCCCACCAAGGCGACGAUUGGUAGCCGGACUGAGAGGUUGAACGGCCACAUUGGGACUGAGACACGGCCCAGACUCCUACGGGAGGCAGCAGUGGGGAUAUUGCACAAUGGGGGAAACCCUGAUGCAGCGACGCCGCGUGGAGGAAGAAGGUUUUCGGAUUGUAAACUCCUGUCGUGAGGGACGAUAAUGACGGUACCUAACAAGAAAGCACCGGCUAACUACGUG
rnacentral:rRNA from 1 species